AAGUCGUAACAAGGUCCUGUCGUGUACAACCGCGGAGAUCGAUUUCAUCCAACCUCACCGUGAACAUACCUUAAUGUUGCCUCGGCGGAUCAGCCCGCGCCCCGUAAAACGGGACGGCCCGCCAGAGGACCCAAACUCUAAUGUUUCUUAUUGUAACUUCUGAGUAAAACAAACAAAUAAAUCAAAA
rnacentral:misc_RNA from 1 species